rnacentral:rRNA from 1 species
UUUGGGAGGAGACUGCGUUGUACUAGCUUGUUGGUGGGGUAAUGGCCCACCAAGGCUACGAUGCAUAGCGGGCGUGAGAGCGUGGCCCGUCUCACUGGGACUGAAACACUGCCCAGACACCUACGGGUGGCUGCAGUCGAGAAUCUUCGGCAAUGGGCGAAAGCCUGACCGAGCGAUGCCGCGUGCGGGAUGAAGGCCUUCGGGUUGUAAACCGCUGUCAGUAGGGAGGAAAUCACCAGGGGCUAUCCCCUAGUGUUGACCUAUCUUCAGAGGAAGUACGGGCUAAGUUCGUGCCAGCAGCCGCGGUAAUACGAACCGUACAAACGUUAUUCGGAAUUAUUGGGCUUAAAGGGUGCGUAGGCGGCGCAGUCAGUGAGGUGUGAAAGCCCUCGGCUCAACCGAGGAAUUGCGCUUCAUACUGCUGUGCUUGAGGGAGACAGGGGUAAGCGGAACUGAUGGUGGAGCGGUGAAAUGCGUUGAUAUUAUCAGGAACACCAGUGGCGAAAGCGGCUUACUGGNUCUCUUCUGACGCUGAGGCACGAAAGCUAGGGUAGCGAACGGGAUUAGAUACCCCGGUAGUCCUAGCCGUAAACGAUGAGCACUUG